rnacentral:tRNA from 1 species
GCCAGCAUGGCUCAGUGGUUGAACAUCCAUCUAUGAAAUGAGAGAUCAGGGUUCGAUUCCCUGUCAGGGCA